rnacentral:rRNA from 1 species
AACGAACGCUGGCGGCAUGCCUAACACAUGCAAGUCGAACGAGACCUUCGGGUCUAGUGGCGCACGGGUGCGUCACGCGUGGGAACCUGCCCUUAGGUUCGGAAUAACUCCCCGACAGGGGUGCUAAUACCGGUUAAUGUCUUCGGACCAAAGAUUUAUCGCCUUUGGAUGGGCCCGCGUUGUAUUAGCUAGUUGGUAGGGUAAAAGCCUACCAAGGCGACGAUCCAUAGCUGGUCUGAGAGGAUGAUCAGCCACACUGGGACUGAGACACGGCCCAGACUCCUACGGGAGGCAGCAGUGGGGAAUAUUGGUCAAUGGGCGAAAGCCUGAUCCAGCAAUGCCGCGUGAGUGAUGAAGGCCUUAGGGUUGUAAAGCUCUUUUACCCGGGAUGAUAAUGACAGUACCGGGAGAAUAAGCUCCGGCUAACUCCGUG